rnacentral:rRNA from 1 species
UACGGAGGGUGCAAGCGUUAUCCGGAUUCACUGGGCGUAAAGGGCGCGUAGGCGGGGAGGUAAGUCGGGUGUGAAAUCCCUCGGCCCAACCGAGGAACUGCGCCCGAGACUGCUUCUCUUGAGUCCCGGAGAGGAAGAUGGAAUUCCCGGUGUAGCGGUGAAAUGUGUAGAGAUCGGGAGGAACACCGGUGGCGAAGGCGGUCUUCUGGACGGUGACUGGACGCUGAGGCGCGAAAGCGUGGGGAGCAAACGGGG